UAUCCAAGGCUCUGUGGACCACCUCUACUGUCGGCUGGAACAUUUGCCAACUAUAGCAAUUCAACCCCCAAAUCUUCACUAUAUUGCCAUACUGGUUAUAAAAACAGAGCAGUGCUCAAGGAAUGUUUACAGCUAAGGAGACUCCACAGAGGAUUGCCUGAAGGACAUGAAGUCCAUUCAUCUCUUCAGAUAGUUUAGAUUACAACUCAGGAUCAAGAUUUUGUCUUACUGAAUGUCCUCUACCGAACUAUGAGAAAAAUGUGAGAAAACCAAGGCGCAGAAAUACUGAGUCACUAUUAUUGCUACACAAGUUUUCAUUGAGAACUGGGAGUGAAUCAGAGACCAGGGUUCCUACAACAUUCUACUGAAGAUGGAAUUUUCUGUAAGAGUGAGUGCUUAGAGUCUAUUUAUUUUUGUGUAGCAUUUUGUUAGACUAUCCAACUGAAUAGCCAUCCCUUCCAUAAUAAAUAUUAUGGUGAUAGGACAUGAAGCUUAGAAUCAUAAGAGUUGACACUGAAAAAGACCUUAAAAUCAGCAUGCUCAAUACCCAUCCAUUGCCUACCCAGCUUGGACACCUCCUACGAUGUAGAGCUUACUGCAGUUAGAGGCAAACAGUCUCAUCUUCGCACAGUUAGAAAGUGUUACCAUUGAGCUACCCUUCAAGAACCUCAAACCUCACAUGUUCAAACCUUAAUUCAUACAGCAGUUUCAUAAUUUUCUUUAUAAUUAAUUGGGGAGCUGGGCUUACCAGAGGAGAGUGAGUGCUAAUGAAGGUAACGUUAUCCCAUCAAUAAUUAAACACAGAUUACAUUUAAGCACCCAUGUUUUCAUUACUAAGGCCAAGGAAAGAGGUCAGUAGAAAGUGUUGUCCUAUCUCCUUGGGAUUUUCCAAGAUUGCUUUGUCCAAGCUUAGUAGCUUAGUAUUCAUUUAUACUAGAAGACAAUUCUAUCAGUCAGGGCCCUAAGAAAAAAGCAGAUGAGACAUUCAAAAGGGAUUUGAGGUAUAUUAAUGAAGAGACAUUUACAAAGGUAUGGGCAAAGUUCAAGGAACUUAUUGUGUUCAAGCACAAGGCUAACAAUAGUCAAGAAGCACUGGUAUCUGUAGGCCUGAGGGGUGAAGGGAAGGAGCAGGCUCCAAACAAAGAAAAGAAGCCACAGAAGUUAAGAUCGUACAUAUGGGAACACAC